rnacentral:rRNA from 1 species
AUGGUGAAGGAGAAGGGGAAUGAGAAGGGAAAGGGUGCUGGCAGUGGUGCGAUCCUUGUGGCCGAUCGCACCUUGCUCCGCCGCCGGUGGCCGGAGGACGCGUGCCCCUCCCUCGCCGGCUUCUUUAUCAAGAACCGGGCCCGUGAUCAAGAGGCCAAGGUGCUCGUCCCGACGCCACGGUCGCCGCUGGGCCGCCGUUGCCGCAGCCUCCACUCCUUCGUGCCAACCGUGCCGGACCGCGCGGUGCCGCUGGCCUCGCGCCGCGGCCUGCUCCUCGUGCGCCUCAUCCCGCCCCACGAGGCAGACCUGGACCAGACGGUCCUCCGUCUGGCCGUGUGCAACCUGCUCCUCGGCACGUGCCACCAACUCCCUCCUCUAAUGCGCACCACCUCUGUCGGGUACCGUGACUAUGGAUGCUACUGUUGUGCCGUUCUAUCCGGUGACGACUGUCGCUCCGGCGGCGGCGGCCCCGAACAGCCACCGGGCAACUCACCCUUCCACAAAGCGUUAAUCAUCACAGCCGGUCAUGAGGGACAGUGGACUAUGUUUGAUAUCCACACCUUGUCGACUGUGAAACCGAGCUGGAGCACAACGCGCUCCCAUCAAAGUAUGUGGGGCAAUACCCUCGGGUCAUUCUGUCAAACCGACGCCGUCGUCUGCCACGGCGUCGCGUACUGGCUAUUUCGUGAUGACAAAGAACAGUGUUUCCGAAUUGUUAAACUGAUGAUUGGCCAGCACGACUAUCUCACAUUCAUGUGGCUCCCGGCUGAGAUGUUGCCUGACCGAGAUCACCGCCCGUGCCUUCGCCUGAACAGCGACGGCACGCUCUCGGUGCUACAGAUGCAAGAGACAGGUUCCCAGCUACAGAUAUGGAGACAAGAGGGCCAAGAGAGUUUCUAUGAUUCCUCACGAUGGCUCCAUCCUCAGACGAUCGAGCUGAUACAACCAUGGAAGAAGACGACCCAAGUAAAAGACACACUUUCCAUACUGGGAGAGAAGUGUGGCAAAUUGCUUGUCAUGGAUGGGCGUGGGCGCGUGUACACCGCCGACCUCGAGACCGGAGCAAUGAAGGAGGUGGCUGACGGGCCUUACGCACGCCCCAACAGCCCUCUCGAUGCCGUGCUCUUAGAGAUGGACUGGCCGGCGUUCUUCGUUUCACGUCUUGGUACUGACAGGUAUAGCUACCCAUGA